UACGUAGGGUGCAAGCGUUAAUCGGAAUUACUGGGCGUAAAGCGUGCGCAGGCGGUUGUGCAAGACAGAUGUGAAAUCCCCGGGCUUAACCUGGGAAUUGCAUUUGUGACUGCACGGCUAGAGUGUGUCAGAGGGGGGUAGAAUUCCACGUGUAGCAGUGAAAUGCGUAGAGAUGUGGAGGAACACCGAUGGCGAAGGCAGCCUCCUGGGCCAAUACUGACGCUCAUGUGCGAAAGCGUGGGGAGCAAACAGG
rnacentral:rRNA from 1 species